rnacentral:rRNA from 1 species
GGGCCCGCACAAGCGGUGGAGCAUGUGGUUUAAUUCGAUGCAACGCGAAGAACCUUACCAGCCCUUGACAUCCUCGGAACGACCUAGAGAUAGGUUGGUGCCUUCGGGAGCCGAGAGACAGGUGUUGCAUGGCUGUCGUCAGCUCGUGUCGUGAGAUGUUGGGUUAAGUCCCGUAACGAGCGCAACCCUUGUCCUUAGUUGCUACGCAAGAGCACUCUAAGGAGACUGCCGGUGACAAACCGGAGGAAGGUGGGGAUGACGUCAAGUCCUCAUGGCCCUUAUGGGUAGGGCUUCACACGUCAUACAAUGGUCGGUACAGAGGGUUGCCAAGCCGCGAGGUGGAGCCAAUCCCACAAAGCCGAUCGUAGUCCGGAUUGUUCUCUGCAACUCGAGAGCAUG